UCAUUAGUAACAAAGUCAACGACUUUCAUUCUCCACCACAUAAGAACAAACAUAAAAACCAAAACUUUAGAUUGUAUCUAUUAUAAAUCUGAGCUCAUCACUGAACAAGUUGGCAUAAAGAUCAAGUCUUUUAGCUCAAGAUCCAAACAGCAACUCCAAACCCAUCACUAACUAACCGAUAAGAUCAUACAUCCAUACGCGGCCGGAUAGAAAGCUUACUUUGGUUGAGGAAGGAAUCUUGCUAGAGGUAAUAGCUUUGCAGGGUCGAUGUAGAACUUGUCCCCUUCAGCAUAUGAGGUAGAUCGGGGCAUUGAAGUAAGGGAUCUUCUCUUGGACACAGCAUCACCCUCACAAGCAUGGAGAAAGGUUGCAACUUCUGUUAUAUAACCGACAAAGAAACCUUGUCAUAACGGAGAAAAGUCAUAAAGUUUGUACCUUUUUAAGUUAAACUACUGUCACAAAACUUCCAACCCGAAGAUGAAUCUAUCAAAAGGGCUAAGAGACUGAUUCUU